rnacentral:rRNA from 1 species
UACGUAGGCAGCAAGCGUUGUUCGGAGUUACUGGGCGUAAAGGGUGUGUAGGCGGUUCUUUAAGUUUGCUGUGAAAUCUCCCGGCUUAACCGGGGGGGUGCGGUGAAUACUGAGGGACUAGAGUACGGGAGAGGAAAGUGGAAUUCCUGGUGUAGCGGUGAAAUGCGUUGAUAUCAGGAGGAACACCGGUGGUGUAGACGGCUUUCUGGACCGUAACUGACGCUGAGACACGAAAGCGUGGGUAGCAAACAGG